rnacentral:lncRNA from 1 species
AGAAACCCUGUCUCGAAAAAAAAAAAAAAGAAAAAGAGUCCUUAGCAUAGGAGGCCGUGGGUCAGACCCCCGUACCACACACACAAAACAGGCAAAUUCCAGGCAAGGAUGAACAGAACAAAGCUCUCAAACUCCCAGGUCCGGAGCUCUUCAUAUCUGGUGUCCAUCUAUAGGGAUUUAUUGCUGCUAUCAGAGUUGGUGUCUGGCUUUUUUUCUUCCUUCCUAGGUUUUAGAGACCUACCUCACCAAAGUCUGAACUUGAGGAAAAAGUUCUAAAUGAACCCAUUUGUAGGAGACCUGAGGUGCUUCUGAUCUGGAAUACGCUCUAAAUGACACACCUGUUCUAACAGCGCCGCCAAGUGGUAGACAUGGUUGUGUCUGUGCAUCACAUAUGUGCCAGGGUCCACUGAAAGUCAGAAGAGAGUGUUGAAUCUUCCAGAACUGGAGUUACUUCUGAGGCGCCUCCCCAGCCCCUGCAGACAGACUGAACAGUUCCAUAACUGGUUCCAGGAGGCCUCCCCCUUUUGAGGUCAAUCGCCUCAGUCUAUGGAUCUUGUCACACAAAUCCUACUGGAGGUGGUGUGGUACUCCUCUCCUCCAGUCUCCUUGGUUUCAGAACACUUAACUCCAGAGGGAGUCUCACAGCAUCCCUGGAGACUGCAGUGAGCGCUCCUUCAACAGACAAAGUUAAUCAAGAGACUGAUAUUUGUCUCAGCGAAUUGAACGUCUUCAGAACUGGGAAUAGUGCACCUCUGAAGAGAUUCCUGGGUCCCCUGCCAGGGGACAAGGGGACUGUGAUACUCAGAACCAUGGUCUCUGACUAGAAGACGAUACUAGGCUGGACCUCCAGACCAUGUAAGGAUAGACCAGCCACUACCCAGAGAAUUAGGAAGAGCCAAGGGGGUUUAAGCAUCCUGCAAACUAUUGCAUCUAAAGCUUUGGUGAGAGGUGGCACUGGCCUCCGAAGCCAAGCCUCAAAGGGAUUCCAAGACGCUGGUACUGUGGUCCUUUAAGGUUGGUAAUUACAAGUUAUGAAAGUUAAAGGAUUUAAAUACUUAAGAUACUAAUGAAAAAAUAAUUUAAAUAUA